rnacentral:lncRNA from 1 species
UUAAAUGCAAUUAAACUAAAGCACUGGGGUGCAGAACCAAAAUUGGUGUGUCCAAAUGAUUCUGGGCACCGGAGGCUCCCUCGUUCUCAAUGUUCGUUGAUCGAUGAAGACGGAGCUCAAUGGGAAAUCACUUGAGCAAACAGGUAAUACACGAUAUUGAUUAUUUCUAUGAUGUCCACCUCUUAUUCUACUUAAUUAUUCCUCUUCUGAAGCUCAUAUUUCCUCUUCUUAUCAAUAUUAUCCCCUCUCUGCUGUUGCUAUGGUGUUGCAGAAGAUUGAAGUUGAAGAAGAUUGAUAAUGAAGCUUGAAGUUGCAGAAUAUUGAGAAUGAAGCUUGAGGUUGUAUUAUGUUGAGAAUGAAGCUUCAAGCGAAGAUGUUAUAUAAAGGAUGAGAUGUAACCAACUCGGGCAGGCUCUGGGAAAACAGGUCAGUUAGUUAUCAGUUUGUUAGAAAUUUCAAUUGAAAUGAAAAUGCCAACGAAAUUUUAUUGAAAUUCCAAAGUCAGUUGGAACUUAAAAUCCAGAAUUGGUUAGAGUUUAUUUAGUUAGACUUGGUUUGAAUGUUAGGUUUCGAAGUUGGUGAACUGGUUGUGGAUUAGAGCUAGUUGUAUUUCUGUUAGGUUAUGAAGUUAGUUAGUAUGUUAAUUGUUAGGAUUAACUUGUCAAUAUUCAGUUAGCCUUGUCUAAGUUGAUUCAGUUGUGAUAUUGUUAUGCAUGAGCUUUGUUAAUUAGCAUGGCCAGUUUUAUUAACUUUGCUUAAAACUCUGUUAGCAGCCUGGUGUAUGAUGCAUCCAAGGUUAGCAGAUGGUAAAAUUGGUAGUUAAAUGAAACAGUUUAGCUAAGGCUCAAAAAGUGAGUUAAGUUGCCAUUUGUUAAGUUGUUGAUCUUCUAUGCUGAAAUCUUAAUACCAUGCCUAGUGAAAGUUAGUUUCUAAUGACGCAAAGCGAUAUGAUAUGCUCUGCCAGACUUCAUUUUAUUGUUUGUUGUAGGUAUGGGUGUUUGGACUUGGUGUAAUAGAAAUCAAUGACCAUGCUGCCAGCUCUGAUGAUGAAGGGAUUGUGGGUUUGUGCCAUGCCUUCUUUGAUAAGUGGGUUGCAGCUUGGUAUGUGGAAUGAUGUUGUUUGGUGAUUGAUUUUGAUGCCCUGUUAUUGUUGUUGUGCUGCUGCAAUGUUGUUGGGCAUUGCUGCUGCAACAUUUUUACAAGGUAUGCAUGGUUGUUGCUAUGAACGCAUAAAUGUUUUAGGAUGAUGCUUAUGACAUAAGAUAGAACAUGAAUGCAUCCAUAUGUGUUUGGGUGUAUGUAUGGAUUGUAUGUGGACUGAUUCAUAGCUAUUUUUCAGGACUGCCACAUGUUAGGGACAUUGAACCAAGGCUUCAACCAAGAUCACCAUGAAAUUCCUAUGGCCAUGACCAAAUUGCAAAAACAAGCUUUGCUUGGAAAGGAAACUAACUUGGAAGAAAAAUGAUGAAGUGAGAAGAAUGAAGGAUGAUGUUAUGAAGUUUAGGAUCUUUAGAAAAAGUGUGUUGACUUUGGUCAAAGUUGACCAAAAGGUCAACUAUUGACCAAAGUCAACUUUUGUCAAAGUUGUAUUUUUCUAUUUUCUUUUGUAAAGUGAUCUAUGUAUGAAUGAAACUUUGUAUAAAAUGAAUUUUGACUGUAAUGAUACAAUGCUUUGUUUUGUCUACUAAAAUCAGGUUUGAAUGAAAUAUGAACCAUGAGCCAUGAGUUUGAAUGAAUGAA